UACGGGGGGAGCAAGCGUUGUUCGGAUUUACUGGGCGUAAAGGGCGCGUAGGCGGCCACGACAAGUCACUUGUGAAAUCUCCGGGCUUAACUCGGAAAGGUCAAGUGAUACUGUCGGGCUAGAGUACAGAAGGGGCAACUGGAAUUCUCGGUGUAGCGGCGAAAUGCGUAGAUAUCGAGAGGAACACCUGCGGCGAAGGCGGGUUGCUGGGCUGAUACUGACGCUGAUGCGCGAAAGCCAGGGGAGCGAACGGG
rnacentral:rRNA from 1 species